UUGUUGGCUUGUAAGGCGUCAGUGAAGUGCCAGUUUGAAUGUCAUGGGAAGAAUAUUAAAGUCUCGCUAUUCACAGCCGAAUGUUUUAUGCAAUGUUUUCCAGCACGGAAUUUGGUUUCAUUGAAAGGCUCAACAGUGGCCGGCAAAGGAAUAUUUCAUUACCUAAGAACAACCACAGUUCUCUGCUCAUUUUGCUGUGGGGAGUCUGCAUCACCAAUAACGAAGGGCGAGUAUUUAGAGAAUGUCUGUCAAGAAAAGUAAAAUUAAAGCCGUUGUCUAUGGUAAUGCCUCCAUAUUGUCAGGAAAGCAAUUUACUGACGCUGUCAACAGAACACUGAGUUCAUUGGUUUUUGUCAUUUCCAUACAACUCAAUCCAAGGAGAAUUUUCGUCUUCCCAGAAGCGGCAUGCGCCAGGCAGAGUAUAAACAACAUUUAUAAAUGAUGAGUUGCCAGACUGGUCACAGUUAUUGUUUUCGGCAGAGACUUUAACGUAGAGAGACUCGUGUUCUUUGAUGCUGAUCCGGUGUCGUCGGCGUAAAUGAUCUGAGAUUCUUGAAACUGGAAUAUUGUAAUAUCGACAGCCAGGUACAUGGCAGGUUCUUCUUGCGUGACGGUCAGCUGAGGAUUUUGUGCAAGUCCUUCUUAUGGCACUUGGGGUUUGGUAUUUUUGAUGCUGCGCCAUGGUAAUAGACGGAUGAACUCUUUUAAGAUGCCUGUCAAGUCGUUUAAAGAACAAUCCAUGUUGUGUACAGCCCUCCACUCGACAAACGCCGCUCUGAGGCAUGCUGUGUUACAGUAUUGCUUGUGUUUAUUAUUAAUGGUGAUUAUUCGUUCAAUGUUUUGCAAGAUGUAUAGCUGUCUAUCAUAUGACUCAGAAUUCGAAUCGACGAACGUUUUGGCGGGCUUUGUUUGUAAAUUUUCCCGCGCCUUAUUGUGGUCAUUAAAAUUCCUUUCCUGAUAUAGAAUUACAAAUCUGAUGUUCAAUCAUUUAAAUUUUUUUGCAACAAAACAUUCCACAAAGCAUUCCAAAGUUGAUGAAAUUGCAAAAUCAAGUUUCUGUCAUAUUUCUGUCAGUAUCAUCAAAUUUAUGACAUACCUGUGGUCUGAUUAUUUCUUCAACGUUUCACGAGAUGUACAGAAUGUCCGCAAAAAAGAACCCUUUUCAAGUUUUGUCAGAGUUUGAAUGCUUUAUCAUUAUGCCAAACAAUUGCAGCUGUUGUGUAAAAAUUGGAAAACUGAACCAUAGACCUUACCAUAUAGUGAUCAGGCGCGUUGAAUUUCGAGCCAAAGCUUGAUGGGGUCAGGGUUUCCACAAUAUUGACAACCACAAGGGAGGGAGGGAUCUGUGUUAGUAAGAUAUAUUAUGCAAUCUUUUCAAAAGUUCUUUAUUGCUUUUUUUUGUCAUUUCUAUCUCCCUAUGAGGACGGUCAUAUGCAAAUAAGUUGUGGAUGGGGUACAUUUUUCCUGUAACAUAUAGCUGUGAUAUUUUCUACCAGUACACUUAUUUUAUUGCAUUAUACUCUAAAGGCAGAAAUAAAUCAACGCAGCUUUUGGCGGGCUCUCUUCAUACAUUUUCCCAAGCCGAAUUUGGUAGUCCAGAUUGCUCUACUAAUAUGUUCGGAAUUACAAAAGGCUCUCCUUCAAUGUUAAUUGCCAAAGAGCAUUCCAAAGGUGGAAAAUUUGAAAUCAAGUAUUUCUGUCAACAUCACCAUAUUUACGAGUCAAGGUUAUAGUGGACAUACCAAAUCUAAAGCAUGGGGUAUAUAAUAGAAGAUUUAUUAUUGUUUUUUGUGGCUUGCAUGCAUGCGUAUCACUGUUUGUCAGAAUAAAGAUAAUAAUUUAUUCUCGAAUCUGCCGUUUUAAAUACCUCGUAAAAUUCGU
rnacentral:lncRNA from 1 species